AUGAGCACGAGACUCCCAAAGUGAAAAGUCAAGUAAAAAGAGAUCUGAUUAUAUUUUAAAUCUCAACUUUAACGCGCCACAUCCUUUCUCUUUCUUCUUAUAUGAGAACUUUCCAGAGAUUACAGAAAUUAAUAUGAAGUCAAGGUGACAGAAUCAAGUAUAUUAUGAAAAUUAACUGGAUUGGCAAGAAUCAACAGGGAUCUGUCGGCUGCAAUGAAACAUGUGUUUGUGUGGCAAAAGCUGAUUGGUACCUCUAUACCAGAUGCGACUUCCCUAUUGGUCCGCGUUGACAAAUAAUUCUGC